rnacentral:rRNA from 1 species
AGAGGGUGACACUCCCGUCCGCCUGGCAGAGUGAGUCAUUUGGUCAACGAGUCGAGUUGUUUGGGAUUGCAGCUCUAAUUUGGUGGUAAAUUCCAUCUAAAGCUAAAUAUUGGUGGGAGACCGAUAGCGUACAAGUACCCGUGAGGGAAAGAUGCCAAAGAACUUUGAAAAGGAGAGUUAAAGAGUACCUGAAACUGCUGAAACGGAAGCGAAGGAAACCAGUGUUUGUUGUUCAUAUUCCCUAGCUACUUGUGGCUUGGGCGCUGUGGGCUUGCGUGAGUUUGGGUUGGUUGAUUCCUUUGGAACGAGCGCAGUCAGAGUUGAUGUCU